GACGAACGCUGGCGGCGUGCCUAAUACAUGCAAGUAGAACGCUGAAGAGAGGAGCUUGCUCUUCUUGGAUGAGUUGCGCACGGGUGAGUAACGCGUAGGUAACCUGCCUUGUAGCGGGGGAUAACUAUUGGAAACGAUAGCUAAUACCGCAUAACAAUGGAUGACACAUGUCAUUUAUUUGAAAGGGGCAAUUGCUCCACUACAAGAUGGCCCUGCGUUGUAUUAGCUAGUAGGUGAGGUAAUGGCUCACCUAGGCGACGAUACAUAGCCGACCUGAGAGGGUGGUCGGCCACACUGGGACUGAGACACGGCCCAGACUCCUACGGGAGGCAGCAGUAGGGAAUCUUCGGCAAUGGGGGCAACCCUGACCGAGCAACGCCGAGUGAGUGAAGAAGGUUUUCGGAUCGUAAAGCUCUGUUGUAAGUCAAGAACGGGUGUGAGAGUGGAAAGUUCACACUGUGACGGUAGCUUACCAGAAAGGGACGGCUAACUACGUG
rnacentral:rRNA from 1 species